UACGGAGGAUGCAAGCGUUAUCCGGAUUCAUUGGGUUUAAAGGGUGCGCAGGCGGAGUGAUAAGUCAGUGGUGAAAGCCUACAGCUUAACUGUAGAACUGCCAUUGAUACUGUCAUUCUUGAGUAUUGUUGAGGUAGGCGGAAUGUGUCAUGUAGCGGUGAAAUGCUUAGAUAUGACACAGAACACCGAUCGCGAAGGCAGCUUACCAAGCAAUAACUGACGCUCAUGCACGAAAGCGUGGGGAUCAAACAGGAUUAGAUACCCUGGUAGUCCACGCCGUAAACGAUGAUCACUCGAUGUUGGCGAUACACAGUCAGCGUCUUAGGGAAACUAUUAAGUGAUCCACCUGGGGAGUACGGUCGCAAGAUUG
rnacentral:rRNA from 1 species